GUUCAAAAGAUCCUGAUUCUUGCAAUUACACAUUUAACAUCUUACAUGUUAAGUUCAGUGACCAAGAAAUUGCGCCAGCUCUGCUCAAGGAUAAGUUGGCUGAUAUGGAAACGUCCAAGGCCAAAAGUUAUCAUCAGAAGGUUUGGAAAAACCCCCAAAGAUCGAUGUAAAUGGAAACCUGGCAUCCAUAAAUCUUCUCCUCAUCUAAACCGCAAACGAGAUGAUCAAGAAUCCAGUGAAAGGCCGAUUCGAAUUGCCACAUUCAAUGUGGCCAUGUUCUCUCUUGCACCUGCAGUUCCAAAGGCUGAGGAAGCAGUUGUUUUCCGCCAAGAACAUGAAGAUUUUAUGAUGUUCAAGAAUCCAGUGGAGAUGGAUACUCAAGCCAAGUCUGUGAACUAUCAUCCCAAGAGUAUUCUCAAGCAGUCUCCCUUGCAUGCCAGCCUGAGAAGUCCUGAGCAACUAUCCCCGCAAAAGAAGAGCUCGAUAUCCAGACGGAAGGUUUCCAUUAAUCUUCCUGAUAACGAGAUUUCAUUAGCACAUGGUAAAUUACUUGGCUUUAUGGAAGAUGAAAGAGUGGGAUCAUCAAAUAUUAUUGCUAGCAGAAACUAUAGAAGCAGUGUGGUGUUGAGGUCCCCCGUGUGCCUGCCUGCCAAGUUUUUGACUCAGUUUACAAAUGAAGAGAACUUGAAAAGCAGCAGAAGCAUCUUGGAAGUGCUUAGGGAAGUGGAUGCUGAUAUUUUAGCCCUGCAAGACGUCAAGGCAGAGGAAGAGAAAGCUAUGAGACCUCUGUCUGACUUGGCUGCUUCCUUGGGGAUGAAAUAUGUGUUUGCUGAGAGCUGGGCACCAGAAUAUGGAAAUGCCAUUUUAUCUAAGUGGCCAAUUAAGAGGUGGAGAGUUCAGAAGAUUGCCAAUGAUGAAGAUUUCAGGAAUGUGCUAAAGGCCACAAUUAGUGUUCCAUGGGCUGGAGAAGUAGACUUUUACUGUACACAACUUGACCAUUUGGAUGAAAAUUGGAGAAUGAAGCAGAUAAAUGCAAUAAUACAAUCAAGCAACUCUCCACACAUAUUGGCAGGAGGUCUCAACUCUCUCACUGGAUCAGAUUACUCUCCAGACAGAUGGAUGGACAUUGUCAAGUACUAUGAGGACAUUGGAAAGCCAAGGCCAAAAAUCGAGGUAACCAACUUUCUAAAAGGAAAAGAGUACAUAGACGCAAAGGACUUUGCAGGGGAAUGUGAGCCAGUGGUAAUCAUUGCCAAAGGCCAAAAUGUUCAAGGAACGUGCAAGUAUGGCACACGAGUGGAUUAUCUUUUGGCAUCUCAAGGUUCGCCAUACAAGUAUAUUCCAGGAUCAUACUCGGUGAUUUCAUCAAAGGGUACCUCUGAUCACCACAUAGUUAAAGUUGACAUUGUGAAAGCAAGUAAGAGUCAUCAAGAGAGUGCUGUUAGGCAAACCCAGAAAGCAAAGCAGAAAGUUUUUCGGAUAACAAAUCCUUGGCCUUCAAAGGGUAUAUGGAAGUUAAACACCUGAGAUUUCUUCUUAGAAAAUUAUUCUUUUCAAUUGCUACUGUCUCCUAUAUAUUUUAGUGCAUUAUUUGUAAAUCACAGUACUUUUUGACAGAACAAAAUUGUAUCUCAUGUAGAUCCAUAGUAACUUAAUAUAAGAAACCUUUUUUGCUGCUAUCCAAGUCACCUGCAACCAUGCAAUUCCCACAAAGAGAUAUUGCUCUGU
rnacentral:misc_RNA from 1 species